rnacentral:SRP_RNA from 1 species
GACUCGGGCCCAUGCAAUUUCGACGCCCAAAUCUUGUCAGGACCGGAAGGUAGCAGCAAUACGGGAUGCUUGAAAUAGGCGUGGAAUCCGGGUCUCCU